GCGAAGCGGCGACCUCAUUCAUUCAUUCUAACAACUCAUUGCCCUAUUUUCUCUAGAUCUAGUCUAUAUAAUGAUAAUGACCGAGACCCGUACAUAAGAUCGUUCUAGCUUAUCUCCUUCUAAGGAAGUCUGAGCUCCUUCCCAUGCUAAGAGCCUUUCUAAACUCUUGAACUUAAGAGAGGCUUCUUUUCAAGCUGAUGAGUAGAAAUUGAGUAUAAAGAAAAUGACAAAAGAAAUCUCACACGGAGAUCAGUGUACCCAUAGAUCUAUAUGAAAAAUAGAUAUAUGAAAAUUCAAGAAAUUCGUUUUCAAAAACCCGGGAUUUCAGAGGCGAACGACGACAUAAAGGUUCCCCAAGUCAUCCAUGGCGGCCGGGCAAGCUCUCCGUCGAGCUGCCGAUUUCCCUCCUAUCCUAAUGACAAAACCAGAUUCAGAGGUUGUUUCUCUUAAGACGAAAACGUACGAUUGCAGUCACGAAGGGUUUCCACCCUACGUCAUAAUUUUAAUGCUUUUUUGUUAAGUAACAUGAGCACCUGGGGAGACCGGAGAGCUGUUGGCGGGGCAGAAGCACUCUUAACUGGGGGGAAUGCUUUCUAUUCGGCCUUCGAUUCGAUGAUGCCUGUCUCGUUGUGGUAGAAUAGUACUCCACCAUCCGAUACCAAACGCGUACGGAAACAAAAGAACGACCCAUGUCCAUCGUUCUUCUUCUCCAUAGCGAAACCAAACCCAGAAACAAAGCAAAUCGCGAACCAAAUCCAAUUCAAAACCCAACAAACUAGCCCAUCGUUCGCCAUAGACACGCUCCUCUCCCCUUUUUCUUCCAAAGCGCAAAAAUCAAUACCAAGAACCUUAAUUUCGUCAUCCAACUACACCGCCAAUCACCAUUAACAGUCUCUCCCUCCAUAUUCAAAGAUUGCAAACCUCGAGCUUGAUUUGUUGACUUUGGAUUAGAUAAAAAUCUCACCCAAAUAUGAUACGAAUCGGAGCUAUCACAUCGAGUCCAGAAUUUUAGGGAAACGGACAGAGGAUUGAAAUUUGAAGGUUGGAGAAUAGUAUUCUCUGAAAUCGAACCCACGAAAGUUGGAGCCUCAGAUUUUCAAUUUUCUUUCGAGUUGUUUUGUUCAUCUGUUGGUGGGGGUCAGUAGUAGUAGGAAGCUCUUCAAAGUUCGUUGUCUCAGGUUGCUGCUCCAGGAAAGGUAAUAUUCUCGUUUCUGCUUAUCGCUCUUUCCUUUCAGAUGAAGUGUGUUCUGUUUUUGUCACUGUUCGAAUAGUAUAAUUCUUCCAGAUUUCAAGAUUUGAUUAGUGACUUGUUACACCUCUUCAUACUGUUUGUUGUAUUCACUGCUUAAGUUUGGUGUAUGGAUUAUUCGGAGAUCAUGCUCAAUAAAGGUGUAUCACUCAUAUCAGUACAUAUGUUUAUCUGUUGGUUGUAGCUUUGAAUUUCUAGUGUAUAUGUUGUUUUCGUCUUCAUUUGGAAUGAAGCUAAGACAAAUUUUCUUAUCCGUGUCUAAGUUGGUGUUUAACUGCAUCAUUCCUCCCUUCUCCAUAUGGCUUGAGAUUCGUUUUCUCACUGCAUAGAAUGAUAUUUUGCUUGGAAUUUCUGCCUUCUCCAGCUUAAUAAUUGUUGUUUAAAUGGUUUGUUGUUUGCUGUUUGUAAGUCAAGUCAGUACAAAUUUGUGUGUUCCUGUUUUAAUCGGCUGCAUCUUAGAUAUGUUGGAGUCGAAUUUAUUUUUUUUAGUUUACUUGAGGCUUGAUUUUAUUUGCAUAUCCUUUCAUGUGUGUAGCAUGUUGAUACAUGAUCUCAUAUGAGCUUCCAUCAACUCGAAUUCGUCAUGUUUAUGGCUUCUCUGUUCUUUCUUUUUCUUUUAAGUAAAAAAAAAUCAGCUUAUUGUAGCUCUCUUAAUUUGUAAGAUCUUCAUGAUAAUUGGCAUUGAUUAUUGAUUAGAUGUAUAACAUAUUGUUUCAUUAGCAGACUCUCUUUAUAUUUCUAAUUAUUGUUUGAAUGCUAAGUAUUUGUUUUAUAAUAAGAUGGUUCAUUCCUAUGAUGUCUAUGCAUAUUUCUUUACAGAUUUUGUUGUCGUAUAUGUAUGUGUUGGAGAAUGCCCAUAAGUCUAGGACUCUAAUAAUUAAGUGUUAAGGUUUUCUCUGUUUGUUAGCUUUGUUCCCUGUUUCUCUUAGUGCAGCUUGCUUGUCAUUAUUAAGUUUGAGGUGUUUGCUUUGUUGAUAUAUAUAGUUAGUUCAUUUUGUCUUCUUAAAUUCAUCUGGAACACUGGUUUUGAUGACCCUUUGAGUUUCGAGAUACUUAAGCUAUUCUCACCUCAAUUAAAAUCAUGUCUCACUUUUUUUUUCUUCAUCUCAAAUGCUAAUUUUUGUCUUUUCGUUUGUUGUGUGAACUCCAUCUGAGUCUACUUUGGACUCCUCUCCUUGCAUUUGUGAGUAUCGAGCCAGCCAUAGGUGUUCGAGGGUGUAAGGGAAGCAGAUUACAGGUCUCGAAAAGCAGAAAAAUGGGUUAUAUACAUUCGAUAUACAUAGAUAUACAAAUGAUGUAUAAAAAAAUGGGAAUUGGGUAAAAAAAGCCCAAAAAUUGCAGCAAAAUUGGCCCAAAUUCAUUUCUCUUUUACCUUUAAAUUAUUUAAUUGUCUUUAUUUAUUGUUUGUUUUUCUUA